rnacentral:rRNA from 1 species
AGAGUUUGAUCAUGGCUCAGGACGAACGCUGGCGGCGCGCCUAACACAUGCAAGUCGAACGGAGAUGAAAAAAGCUUGCUUUGAUCAUCUUAGUGGCGGACGGGUGAGUAACACGUGAGCAACCUGCCUUUCAGAGGGGGAUAACGUUUGGAAACGAACGCUAAUACCGCAUAACGUAUACGGAUGGCAUCGUCUGUAUACCAAAGGAGCAAUCCGCUGAAAGAUGGGCUCGCGUCCGAUUAGCUAGAUGGUGAGGUAAGGGCCCACCAUGGCGACGAUCGGUAGCCGGACUGAGAGGUUGACCGGCCACAUUGGGACUGAGACACGGCCCAG